rnacentral:rRNA from 1 species
CCUACGGGAGGCAGCAGUGGGGAAUAUUGCACAAUGGGGGAAACCCUGAUGCAGCGACGCCGCGUGAGUGAAGAAGUAUUUCGGUAUGUAAAGCUCUAUCAGCAGGGAAGAAAAUGACGGUACCUGAUUAAGAAGCCCCGGCUAACUACGUGCCAGCAGCCGCGGUAAUACGGAGGGGGCCAGCGUUAACAGGAUUUACUGGGGGUAAAGGGAGCGUAGACGGCAGCACAAGUCUGGAGGGAAAUGCCGGGGCUUAACCCCGGAACUGCUUUUGAAACUGUGCAGCUAGAGUGCAGGAGAGGUAAGGGGAAUGCCUAGUGUAGCGGUGAAAUGCGUAGAUAUUAGGAGGAACACCAGUGGCGAAGGCGGCUUACUGGACUGUAACUCACGUUGAGGCUCGAAAGCGUGGGGAGCGAACAGGAUUAGAUACCCCAGUAGUC